rnacentral:tmRNA from 2 species
GCUCUUCCAUUUGCCGCCGCCGCCCCCUAUAUUCGGUUCGUCGGCUUGACCGACUAUGGCGAUAAAUGGGCGAUGUAAUAAGCCGUUCGGACCCGGGGGCGGUACCCGGCGCCUCCACCAAAAACCGCUUUGUACAAGCAGAGCGGCUUUUGCUGGGGGCGAAAUAGGAUCGACGAAGGUGUAAAGAUCGUACUUUUGCCCGGCAUUGUACCACCGUUAUCGGGCUAAACUUAUAGUUGCAAACGACAACUAUGCUGAGGCACGUCUCGCUGCUUAAUGCGGUGCGACAGUCUCGAAUCAAGCCCUAGGGGUUAGCCCCUCUAGGCGGGGUUCGGAGGUACCUGGCAACAGAAACCUCCACU